UGAGGGAAACACGUCAAAAAUGGAAAAAUGAAUCAUGGAGGGUCCCUCCGGUGGAGGAAACGGAAAUUUGGAGAUUUAUUUUCUUUUUUUUUGCGGAUGGGAAAUCAAAUAAAAGUGAACGCGGCGGCGUCGGGGCUGCGGUUCAUCCUCUGUGGUCACAGAGUGAUCUGAAUUUGGGGAUUCAGGAAGUGAGAUUUGGGAAUUCAGGAGGUGAGAUUUGGGGAUUCAUCAAGUGAGAUUUGGGGAUUCAUCAAGUGAGAUUUGGGGAUUCAUCAAGUGAGAUUUGGGGAUUCAGCAGGUGAGAUUUGGGGAUUGGCCCUUCCCGGGCGGUUGGAGCAGCAGGAGCAGAGAUUUCCCGGGAUGAAGCCCCAGUGACAUCCACACCUGAAGGAAA